GUGCGCAAAACAAGGUUUGCCCUGAGGCCUCAGACGGUGUCUAGCUGCGUAAACUGGGUCCCCGCCUAGGUUCUGGAGUAUCCUGAGUCGCACCUCGGGAAAGGACGGGAUCUAGAACUGGCCCCACUUCCUAACAUCAGAGCGUUUUACGACUAUUGGUUGGAGGUGAUGAUGCAGGGCACAUGGAGUGUCCUGACCCUCGAUUACUGUAACCUGAACCCCUCAUUCACAGACCAUCUAUUCACAGAACCCCUUCUGGAUGACCAUUAGGUGGGGGUGGGAGAGCGCCACCAAACCGAGGCAUGAAUGAGGUCAGCUGAGCACUGCCUCCCAGGACCUGGACGGCCUAAGCAGCGCUGCGCCGGGGACUGUGCUGUCCGCUGUUUCCCUGGUAUCACUGUGGACAAGAAGACUAAGAUCUCCGAGGAGCGCCUCCCCCCUCCCCUGGUGCCUCCUCUCCUAGGGGCCGUAGGAUCUGUAAAUAGAGACACAAGAUUGUGAUGAGGAUGAAACCCUAGACAAAGCAACAACCAUCCCCACAAAGAACCAGGCCUGGGCAGUCAGUAACUGUAGCUGCGGUGGAAUCCCUGCAACAAUGUUGAUGGGACUGGCUGCAGGGCUGGCCUCUUUUGAGGUGUUCAGGUUGUCUAGGCUAGCUAGACACUGCCUUCCCUCAGUCUGUUCAGUGCCUGUCCUUGCUCUGUUCUGUGAUUCGAUUCAG